ensembl:lncRNA novel transcript
CACGGACAGGUUGUGGGUCUCGGCGAAGCGGUAGAGGAUGUUGAGCACCGUGCUGCUGGCCGUCUUGUGCGUCUUCAGGAACAUGAUGUUGGUGACCGGCGGCCCCUCAGCCUGGCCCCCAAACAGGCUGGGAGGGAAGGCACACGCAGCCUUCAGCAAGGGUGCAGAUGCCCCAACCCCCGCCCAACAGCGACCCCCAGCCCGGCAACCGCAAGGAGAGACCUCCCAACCUGAGCCCCCCAACUCUAGGCCAGGGGGCCAACUGGACCCAGCAGCUGCCGGGUGUGAAUGUUACAUAGAGACCGUAAAGAAAAUGUGGCACAUCUACACCACGGAAUACUGUGCAGCCAUAAAAAAGAAUGAGUUCAUGUCCUUUGCAGGGACAUGGAUGAAGCUGGAAACCAUCAUCCUCAGCAGACUAACAAAGGAACAGAAAACCAAACACCGCAUGUUCUCACUCAUAAGUGGGACUUGAACAAUGAGAACACGUGGACACAGAGAGGGGAACAGCGCAUCCCAGGGCCUGUCGGGGAUGGGGUGUAAGGGGAAGGAAAGCAUUAGGACAAAUACCUAAUGCAUGCGGGGCUUGAAACCUAGAUGACGGGCUAAUAGGUGCAGUAAACUACCGUGGCACGUGUAUACCUGUGUAACAAACCUGCACGUUCUGCACGUGUGUCCCAGAACUUAAAGUAAAUUUUUUAAAAAUUAAAAAAUAAAAGGAGACCAUGGCCCAGCAGAA